AGCCACGCAGUGAGCACAAAGCGAAUUAUUCUUUUGCUUUUUACUAAAGAAUAUCGUGUGUGUGUUAAAAUUAGUGGCAUAUGCUAAUUUUUGGAGGGGUUUUCUCCUUUGAGUACC